CAAAUUUAUCAUCUUGAUGUUUUAAAUAUAAGAAGUCUGAAAUCAGUUUCCUUGGGCUAAAAUAAGCAUAGCAAGGCUACAUUCCUGCUGGAGGCCCUAGGGGAGAAUUCAUUUCUUGUGUUUUUUGUGUGUUUCUUUUUCUUCUCAGCUUUUAGAGGCUGCCUACAUUUCCUGGCUUGUGACAACAUCACUAACCUCUGCUUCUGUGAUCACAUUUUCUUCUGAUUCUGACCUUCCUGCCUUGCUCUUAUAAGAGCCCUUGUGAUUACUUUAGACUCAUUCAAAUAACCCAAGAUAAUCUCUCUAUCUGAAGAUUCUUAACUCAAUCACAUCGGCAAAGUCCCCUUGUCCGUGUAAGGUAAGGUAACAUAGUCACAGGUUCUGGGAUCAGGAUCUUUAAGGAAAGGUUAGUAUUCAGCCUACCACAGUAACUAUUUUACUCAUCCUAAUGAGUUUCUUUAAAAUGUCUUCUAACAGGUGUCUACAUUCUGAUGCAUUUGUUGUAUUAGAUUCCAUGUUCCAAACCAUUAUGUCUUCUUCAAAAACAGCAUGUGUUUACUCAGAGACUUAAUCUGGCUUUGUCUUUUAGAACUUGUUCUAUACAACUUUAAAUUCACUCAUUCUUAUUUUCCAUCCUUCUGCUUCUUGUGAAAGCAGUGUUAUCUUUCUCUGAGGAUGAGGAUUUUCAUCAAAAGUGUAUAUUAGCGCUGGUAGAAGGUGCAGGAUGGGAGGGACUCCACAAUGUGUUUGAAACGUGGUGUGCUAAAGGAAGCUUGUGCUGGCUGGUGAGAACCAACUGUUUAUAUCUCUUUCUAAAUCCAUGCUGGGCCUCCUGUGACCUGAAGUCCUUCACAGUGGGAGUAUCCCACCACAGAAAUUGGUAAGUUAUUGCAAAUCAAGGCUUUUUUUUUUCCUCUUCUGGCUAGCCAGUUGGUAACCAUUCCCAAGCACAUCACUGCCUCCGGACUUCUAAAUCUCAGCUGUGUUCUUCAUCUGUCCCCAAGUUUGUGGUGUCCUCUCUCGUGCCUUUGCUCUGUCCACUAGUCAUCACCAUGCUAACCCAAAGCAGACCCAUAGAUGUUUUUCUCUUGGCUUCUUCUCACUUCUCCUGUAGGGAACAUGGUGGAAGUUCUGACUGACCUCUGCACAGGCCUAAGUGACCUCCAUAGAACUUGGCCUGGUCCCCUCUGUACCUAACAGACAUCACAUUCAUUUCUAUUUAAGCUGAAGUUUUCUCCAAAACUCUGUGUCCUCAACCACUUCCAUAAGUUUGUAUCAUCUCAGUGUUCAAAAGAGAAAACAGAACAAAAGCAUUCUUGCUUGUUUGAUUUUUCUUGAGUUUCUAUUUCUUUUCCUCUCUCAUUCCUGCAUUUAAUCUGGGUGGUGAGAAGAGUAAUAUUACUCUCCCCUGCCCGGCACAUACCCUUAUCCUGUCUGGCCACUUGCCCUUUCCUUUGUUCUGUAUUUCUUUCCGUAGGCUCUCUCUACUAAACCAAAUGCAACACUGCUCUUCAGCUUCCUGUUACCAGAAUUAGUAUAUGCAUAACAUAGAACAUAUAGCAUAUAGUAAGACUUUUUAAAAUUUGGAAAAAUAUAUACCAUGGUUUUAAGAAAGUGAGCUUUGAGACUAAGAGCUGAUCAAUAACUUUUAUUUUUUUUAUUUUUUAUUUUUGAGACAGAGUUUCGCUCUGUCGCCCAGGCUGGAGUGCAGUGGCCGGAUCUCAGCUCACUGCAAGCUCCACCUGCCGGGUUACGCUGAAUAACUUUCUUACGGCAUAAUUUUCCCUUUCUUCCUGAGGUAAAAAAUUUCAUGGUUUAGCCUUAAUAGUAGGGCUGAAAUAAUUAUAGUGUAUAGAGGAAUUAAAAAUCAUAUAAGUUUAAUAUUUGAAAAGGUUGUC
ensembl:lncRNA